AUAAACGCUGGCGGCGUGCUUAACACAUGCAAGUCGAACGAAGUUUUUCUUUCGGGAGGAACUUAGUGGCGGACGGGUGAGUAACGCGUGGGUAACCUGCCCUGUACAGGGGGACAACAGCUGGAAACGGCUGCUAAUACCGCAUAAGCCCUUAGCACUGCAUGGUGCAUAGGGAAAAGGAGCAAUCCGGUACAGGAUGGACCCGCGUCUGAUUAGCCAGUUGGCAGGGUAACGGCCUACCAAAGCGACGAUCAGUAGCCGAUCUGAGAGGAUGUACGGCCACAUUGGGACUGAGACACGGCCCAGACUCCUACGGGAGGAAGCAGUGGGGAAUAUUGCACAAUGGGGUAAACUCUGAUGCAGCGACGCCGCGUGAGUGAAGAAGUAUUUCGGUAUGUAAAGCUCUAUCAGCAGGAAAGAAAAUGACGGUGCCUGACUAAGAAACACGGGCUAAAUACGUG
rnacentral:rRNA from 1 species